rnacentral:tRNA from 1 species
UAAUAUAUAUAUUAUAAUAUAUAAAUAUUAUUAUAAAAUAUAUAUAUAUAUUAAUAUUUUAUUUUAUUAA